rnacentral:rRNA from 1 species
AUGGCCGCGAGGUUGGUGGUGGUGCUGCUGCUGCUCGCGCUGGUGGCGGCGUGCCAUGGCGUGAGUGCUGCGGCCGCGGGGGCGUCGCCGCGCCGGCCCAACUGGCUGGGCGGGCUGAGCCGAGCGUCCUUCCCCAAGGGCUUCGUCUUCGGGACGGCCACGUCGGCGUACCAGGUGGAGGGCAUGGCCAACGCCGGCGGCCGCGGGCCUUCCAUCUGGGACGCCUUCGCCCACGUCCCAGGAAACAUUGCCGGAAAUCAAAAUGCAGACGUUACUACGGAUCAGUAUCAUCGCUACAAGGAAGAUGUUAAUCUCAUGAAAGGAUUGAAUUUCGAUGCCUACCGGUUUUCUAUCUCAUGGUCCAGAAUCUUCCCAGAUGGUGACGGAAAAGUUAACCAAGAAGGCGUCGCGUAUUACAAUAAUCUGAUAAACUACCUUCUUCAGAAAGGCAUUACUCCUUAUAUCAAUCUUUACCACUACGAUCUCCCUCUGGCGCUUGAGAAGAAGUAUGGAGGCUGGUUAAAUGCAAAGACGGUGGGACUGUUUGCAGACUACGCUGAUUUUUGUUUUAAGACCUUUGGCGAUCGUGUAAAGCACUGGUUUACAUUCAACGAACCAAGGAUAGUUGCGCUUCUUGGUUACGACGUAGGGUCGAAUCCUCCUCAGAGGUGCAGCAAAUGCGCUGCCGGUGGGAACUCGGCAACAGAACCUUACAUCGUUGCUCACAAUUUUCUCUUAGCACAUGGUUAUGCAGUUGCAAGAUACCGGACUAAGUAUCAGGCAGCUCAGAAGGGGAAGGUUGGAAUAGUUCUGGACUUCAACUGGUACGAGGCUCUUACCAACUCAACUGAAGACCAAGCAGCAGCUCAAAGAGCCAGGGACUUCCAUGUUGGCUGGUUUGUCGACCCGCUAAUAAACGGGCAUUACCCACAGAUAAUGCAAGACCUUGUGAAAGAGAGGCUGCCCAGGUUCACUCCCAGUGAAGCUAAAUUGCUCAAGGGCUCAGCAGACUACAUCGGGAUCAACCAGUACACGGCUAGCCUCAUGAAGGGCCAGAAAUUGCUGCAGCAGACGCCGACCAGCUACUCGGCCGAUUGGCAGGUCACAUAUGCCUUUGAGAGAAAUGGCAAACCGAUUGGACCAAAGGCGAAUUCUAACUGGCUUUACAUCGUCCCGUCGGGGAUGUACGGAUGCGUGCACUACCUCAGCCAGAAGUAUGGAAACCCACCUAUUGUCAUAACUGAAAACGGAAUGGAUGAGCCGGGGGGCCUCACCCGGGAGCAGUACUUGCGGGACGCGACGAGGGUCCGGUUCUACCGGAGCUACCUCGGCGAGCUGAAGAAGGCCAUCGAUGGCGGCGCCAACGUCCUCGGCUACUUCGCGUGGUCUCUCCUCGACAACUUCGAGUGGAGCUCCGGCUACUCCUCCAAGUUCGGCAUCGUGUACGUCGACUUCAGCAGCCCCACCCUGGACCGGCACCCCAAGGCGUCGGCCUACUGGUUCAGAGACCUUCUGCAGCACUGA